rnacentral:rRNA from 1 species
GACGAACGCUGGCGGCGUGCUUAACACAUGCAAGUCGAACGGAAAGGCCCUGCUUUUGUGGGGUGCUCGAGUGGCGAACGGGUGAGUAACACGUGAGUAACCUGCCCUUGACUUUGGGAUAACUUCAGGAAACUGGGGCUAAUACCGGAUAGGAGCUCCUGCUGCAUGGUGGGGGUUGGAAAGUUUCGGCGGUUGGGGAUGGACUCGCGGCUUAUCAGCUUGUUGGUGGGGUAGUGGCUUACCAAGGCUUUGACGGAUAGCCGGCCUGAGAGGGUGACCGGCCACAUUGGGACUGAGAUACGGACCAGACUCCUACGGGAGGCAGCAGUGGGGAAUAUUGCACAAUGGGCGGAAGCCUGAUGCAGCAACGCCGCGUGCGGGAUGACGGCCUUCGGGUUGUAAACCGCUUUCGCCUGUGACGAGGCGUGAGUGACGGUAAUGGGUAAGGAAGCACCGGCUAACUACGUG